ACAAUUCAGAAAACUCAUCCUUGAGAUUCUUUUCCUUUAGAACCACUCCUACUAACAAAAUCUAUAUAAGUCGGGGUUCUCCAAGGAAACAGAACACACACACAUUGUAACCACUAUUCUAACAUUAUUCGUAAGAUAUCUGUAUGUCAGAGGUUGGGAAAUAAGUCUAACAAAAGUUCAGGGAUCUUCGACUUCAGUGAAAUUUCUAGAAGUCUAGUGGUACCCCUUCUAAGCUAAUGAACUGAAUGCCAGGACUCAGAGGCCUACAGUAUCAAAAGACAGAAGACGGAGCCCCUACUGCCCACCUCAGAGGAGCUGGAACGGGGACAACCAAGAUUAUCCUAGGAAAACAUUGGUGUAGCCAAAAGUUGCUGUUGAUUAUAUGUAAGAUCCAAAGAGACAGAUGCAAAUAAAGAGAUAAAGCCAUUUGAUAAGAAGCAGUAGAUGUCUGAGACUUCACAUUUUCAGAGGCUAUUGAGUCUGACUCUCAGGAUCAAAGAGAGAUUCAUCUUAUGUACAUCAGAGACAGACUCAUGAAAGUGGCUAGGAUAUUCAGAGCCUGUCCUUUCACGUGAUAUUUUAGCCCUCUAUUUUUGGGAUACAUACGGUUACAAGCAGGAUAACUCAGAAGCCUGACCAAUGUGAGAAGCUGAAAAAAAUACUUGUGGAUUGACUAGCUUUGGAAUGUCCACUUCCCAUCUCUAACCCUCUCAACAUACAAGGUUGAGGAAUCUAAUCAUGGACAGUGGCUCUUAGCCUUGGAUAUACAUUGGAGUCACCUUUGUGGAAUUUUUAAAAAUUCCAUAAAAAGCUACAUACUAGACCUAUUAAAUCAAAAUCACUGAAUGAGAUACAGUCAUCAGUAUUAUUUAAAGCUCCCCAUAUAGUUCCAAUAUUCAUUGGAAAUUUGAGAAACACUAAGCUCCUUUUUCUGAUGUUUUUUCUCUCUGAGAGACUGAGAGUAAAUCCCCCUCCAAAGAAAUGAAGUUAUUUUCUGAGAUGGGGAAGGAUAAAUACCGUUUUUCAUGCAUUGGGCUCUCUACUUUAGGUGUUAUCUUCACCUAGUUCUUUCUUUGUGGCCAUAGAGUUGAUACAGACUACAGUGUAUCCUUUGGUCCUUAUCUAAUUCUUACUGCAAAAAAUAGGAGCUUCUAAAUAAAUCA